UGGUUCCCCUCGUCCCAAACUUUUGGUAUGUUCGUGUUUUAUUAUUCCGUUUUCAUUUCAAGGUGCAUUUUCUUUCCAUGUAUUUAUUCUUUUGGUCAACGUCUUACAUAUAAUUCGUUUUGGAAAAAAUGUUUUCCAGGCGUAAAUCCAAGCACGCAAUAUGUGUUCCGAUGAGCCCAUUUCAUUUGUUAUCUGUGUGUUAUUUAUCGUUACUUAGUAUACAUUUUUAAGGUAUAAAAUUAUAUAAAUUCAAGAUCGUGCCUGUUCUUCCAUGCUAUGCCUCGCUAGGGUUUUAUGCAUUUCCUGUUAAAGCUGAAUGCUAUGCUAACACUUUUCGAUUAUAGGAUACCAAUAGGGGCAUUGAUAUACAUGUACCAUCAAAUUUUAAAAUAAAUUCAAAAUACCAU
rnacentral:lncRNA from 1 species